rnacentral:rRNA from 1 species
AUACGGAGGGUGCAAGCGUUACUCGGAAUCACUGGGCGUAAAGCGCGCGCAGGCGGCUUGAUAAGUUGGAUGUGAAAGCCUACGGCUCAACCGUAGAACUGCAUCCAAAACUGUCAGGCUAGAGUGUGGGAGAGGAAGAUGGAAUUAGUUGUGUAGGGGUAAAAUCCGUAGAGAUAACUAGGAAUACCAAAAGCGAAGGCAAUCUUCUGGAACACUACUGACGCUGAGGCGCGAAGGCGUGGGGAGCAAACAGUAUUAGAAACCCCAGUAGUCC